UGGGGAACCGGUGGUUGGCUAGAGGAAAUAGCAAACUUGAAAGGAAAACCAAAAAGACGUAUUCUGGAAACUUGCUUCUGAGACUGUUUUUUAAAUCAUUUUCCUCUCCAAUUUCUCUUCCAACUAACCAGCUCUCCCCAAGUGCAAGCAAAUGUUUUUAUUUCAGAGGUCACAGGCUUAUGUAAGUGGUUGGAUGACAAGUGGUAAUAGGAGUGGUAGAGCGUGAUAACUUUUCUAGCCGGUGCACAAAAUGCUGGAAAAGACAGAGACUCAUCAGGCGUGGGUGUUUGGAGACAACGAGGAACUGGGGAGCCAGUUGACACAGCCACAUGAGGAGCACAGCACAUCUGAUGCGGGACACGGCCGUGCUUUGUCUUGUGCUGGAGCAUGGGUGCUCUGGUGGGACAGACCGAAGGAGGAACAUCAUCUCAGCGUUGACUCUUCCUGAUAGGGCUGAUGGAGCUGUUUUUCCAGUGAAUUUCCAGCUAGUCUGUUAAAAUAAACUUCUCCAUGCAA